CUUGGGAGCCCUGCCAGCCCACAGGCCCAUCUGCGGCAGGCACGUGGUGCCGCGAGAACUUGGCUCAGGGACGGUUUUUCCGCCAUGCGCAGAUUCUCGCCUCUCGCGGGGGCGCCAGGGGGCAGCUGGUUGAGGUGCGCAUGCGCACUGGCACCUAACGGCUCUUCUUCGAGUCUUCUCAGAGGUUGGAGAUUCCCUGUCUUCUCCAACCUCUGCCAAGUCUUCAGAGAGGUUGGAGUGCGCCUGUCGGAGGUACUAGACCCCAGAUGAGGAUCUCAGGAAGAUCCACAAAGCUGCGUCCAGGGGAACGAACGUGUGGAAGCUGCAGCGGAGCCUCCUGCUCAAGAGUAAAGGACCGGUCUGAAACCUACAAGAACAGAAGAGCCAUGUGACGGGAUCCGUGGUUUGGCAGAGGAGACAUGCGAGAAGACGGAACGUUUUGUCCGAAUAGACAUCUGGCAGGGUGGAACGGAGAGAACAGGUAUGGUGGAGAGAACGUCUGAGAAGGUCGCAGGAUUCGCAGGAGCAUCGGGAAAAGAUUGCCUGCUUGCCCGAAGGAAUGGCAAGUUCCAAAGCUGUGCUGUGGGCAGUGUUUAGUUCAUGUCUGCUUUGCUGGCGGGCCGAGUAGCAACAGCUGCAGUUGGUGUGUUCUCUGAAGGCAGUAUCCGAAGGCUGGAGGGGUUGCUUUUCUUCCCAGGUGUCUUUUGAAGAGGCAGUCAAGUCAGCAGCUCGCGGUGAACUUCUGGUAACAUCGUAUGGGCUGGGUUACAGCACAUGCCGACUGCUAAGCCGGUCACUGGGGAAAACCAUGUGAUUGCUGUGAUGAGCUUAGAAUGAUCAUUCCUCCUUCGGGAGCUGGGGUGGGUUGAGGGAGUGAUAAAGAUCACGAUAACCUUGCAUUUCUCCAGCGAGAAAGAAGAAAGAAAUUCCGUGGAUAGGGAGCCAGCCAGGUUUCCUGCAGAAAAUCAUGGGAAGCUUUUGAGCAGGGGAGUCAGAAGAUGAGCGGUGAGUAUUAGGGCUUUCCGGUCACGGUGUGACACAGGGAUUGGCCAGCUCUUCCUGUAAAGGGCCAGGUGGGAAGCACUCGUAGGCCCCGUGGUCUCUGUCGUGUCUGCUGAAGCCUGCCGUAGUAGCGUGGAAGCAGUCAGAGAUGACGUGUAAGCAAAUGGUCCCGACUGACCUCCGGUAAAGCAUUGAUUCCGGAAGCAUUUAACAGACCUAACAACCUUUCAAACCGCAUGGCGUUUCUUUCCCGGAUCCCGUUUCAGGAACGUUUCUGUUGGCUACAAGGACCGUCUCCAACAUGCUUAGGCUCUGUGAACUUUCCCAGGAUCCUGAGUAGGGUUCUCACAGUAGACGAGGAGCCUGUUUUUCAGCUAGCUGCCACAAGGGGGCUGGAAAUUUCUCCCUUCAGAGUGGACCUGGAAGGCUUGGAAGCAUCUGGAGAAGGGCAUGGCCACGAGUAGAGAAAUCCAGGCUACAGGCAGAAGUGGGAGGAAGCGAGAGAGGAAGACUCAUGGAAAGCCUUGCUGCACUCGCCAAAAGAGCUGCCCUCGGACUCAAGAGGGCCACGUUCAAUGUCAACCUGACAUAAGAAGAGCCAUGUGACGGGAUCCGUGGUUUGGCAGAGGAGACAUGCGAGAAGACGGAACGUUUUGUCCGAAUAGACAUCUGGCAGGGUGGAACGGAGAGAACAGGUGUCUUUUGAAGAGGCAGUCAAGUCAGCAGCUCGCGGUGACCUUCUGGUAACAUCGUAUGGGCUGGGUUACAGCACAUGCCGACUGCUAAGCCGGUCACUGGGGAAAACCAUG
rnacentral:lncRNA from 1 species